rnacentral:rRNA from 1 species
AUACGGAGGGUGCAAGCGUUACUCGGAAUCACUGGGCGUAAAGCGCGCGCAGGCGGCUAUUUAAGUUGGAUGUGAAAGCCUACGGCUCAGCCGUAGAACUGCAUCCAAAACUAUUUAGCUAGAGUGUGGGAGAGGAAGAUGGAAUUAGUUGUGUAGGGGUAAAAUCCGUAGAGAUAACUAGGAAUACCAAAAGCGAAGGCAAUCUUCUGGAACACUACUGACGCUGAGGCGCGAAAGCGUGGGGAGCAAACAGGAUUAGAAACCCCAGUAGUCC